CCGACUCUAUGCAAAACGUGCUACAAUACGCAUGCUGAGAGAGCACAUGGAGGAGAGGACGUGAUUUAGCUGCUAGGUAGCUAAUGUUUCUCAGACUACAUCAGAUAUUUUACCUUUCUGACGGGGAUUCCUGAACAACUACGAAUGCAAGAGGUGAAAAUAUGGCGAAAGAAAUGCUGAAGGCCACUACAGGAAAUCCUGCUAGCAGACACUGCAGUUUCAUAUUUGUGAAGAAAAGAAAAAUAGGAUAAACUGCUGCAUCUGUGACUGACUGACUGACUUGAGUAAGAGUUCCUAUGCCACACAGCUCUUACGGCCAACGUUGGUUCUGGAGGCUGAAAUAGUGGACAGCGGAUGAGCCAUGAACUUGACCAAGGGAAGGACAAAGUUAAGCUGGAGGAUGACCUUGAGAGGAACCGCGAACCUGGUGGGCCAGGCAUGUCUCUAAACCAAUCACCAGUUGGGGAAGUGGAUUUGUAGUACCCCCUGAGAGAGAGAGAGGACUGGGAUGGUUUUGGGUUGCUAACGGAGAAGAGGAGCCACACAAGUGGUUCAGGUCGUCUCUACCUCCUGCCAGCUGGUCAGAGGUGUCCGUCACGUUUUUAAAUACCACAACAUGGUUAUCUUAUCAACGCCUGGCACUAUUGGCACCAAGACAACUGGACUUUAAACACACAACUUAGAUGAAUCACAGCAAGUGAAGGAAUAAAACCUCUCUUAAUACCCUGACAAUUGUAAUCCAAAAUGCUUAUAAUCACAGAGAUUGAGGUUAAUUCUCAAACAUAGGUUUUCCAUCAGAGCCUUUUAAAACCAACAAUGUAAUCAUUACUUCAAGGUGAACAAAUGCUUGCCCAUAUGUGUGUAAUGAUUAAACGGGAGCACAGAAAUGAAAUUGCUUUUGUUAAA